AUGCAACUGACGAGUCCAAAAUAGAACGAAACGUGUGUCGAACUGCAU
rfam:Schistosoma margrebowiei strain Zambia genome assembly, scaffold: SMRZ_contig0002963